AAACAUCGCCUCCUGCAGUAUAUAGGAGGUCCAGCCUGCCCAGUGACCAAGUUAAACGGCCGCGGUACCCUAACCGUGCGAAGGUAGCGCAAUCACUUGUUCUUUAAAUGAGGACUAGUAUGAAUGGCAUCACGAGGGUUACACUGUCUCCCACCUCUAAUCAGUGAAACUGAUCUCCCCGUGAAGAAGCGGGGAUAAAACUAUAAGACGAGAAGACCCCAUGGAGCUUCAAACCCGGCAUCAACCAUUAACAUUAAUACCACAUUAAAUAAAUGGACCUGACUGCUGGUUUUAGGUUGGGGUGACCGCGGAGCAUAACAAAACCUCCAUGAUGAACGACCUCCUCUCUAAUCCGAGAGCCACCACUCAAAGAAUCAAAAAAUUGACAUUUAUUGACCCAAACUAUUUUGAUCAACGAACCAAGUUACCCUGGGGAUAACAGCGCAAUCCAUUUCAAGAGCCCCUAUCGACAAAUGGGUUUACGACCUCGAUGUUGGAUCAGGGUAUCCUAGUGGUGCAGCCGCUACUAAAGGUUCGUUUGUUCAACGAUUAAAACCCUACGUGAUCUG
rnacentral:rRNA from 1 species